UCCGGAUCCAUUUUACCUCCGGCAUAUCCGCGCUACAGUCAGGUCUGUUUAGUGGAUCUGGUCCGGCUUCACUCCGGGUUCGGGUUAUGAUUGUGACUCACGUUCAGAUCCGUUUUACUGACGGUAAAUCCGCAUAACAGUCCGUCUCAUUUCACGCCUUCCAUAUGACUUCGGCACGGAGUCAGAUACCAGAUGUGAGUUCAGUGUCAGUUCAGUGUCGUUUUGCGGAUCCGGGCCGCAUCGGCGGAGCGGCACAGGAGCGGGAGAAAUUCAAACUCAGCGCGAGGACCAACUGACAUCUGCUGAAUCUGCGCUUCAGGUGUAAUCAUUUACCCAUCAAAUCACCUAACAAGGAUCAGCCUGGAUCCUAACAGUACUUGAUGCACUGAGCAGUGACAUUAUACAUAGAGUAGUUAAGCAGGAUUUGGUAUCCGCAAAAUGGUUCGAGGUCCUCAGCCCUCGCCUCCCCCAGCACAGAGGAAAACUACCAAGGGCGGUACUCUCAUUAUAGGAGAUUCAAUUGUUAGACAUUUAAAAGUAUCUAAGAGUAAUGGCACAAUUUCAUGUCUUCCAGAUGCUUGCAUGCUGGUAGUCGGCAAGCGGCUCCCUGGGGCGCAUUGCCAAAGCAGGAACCCCGGCACCAUCGCCCUCCAUGUGGGGAUGAGCUUUCGGGAGCGACCGGCCCCAUUCCACAGAGACAGGCUUCUCUCUGUGAAGAACAUCGAGGCGGUGCUACGCUGAGACUGACUGUCUCUACCCAGUCACACCAGCCAAGCUGCACUGUAGUGGUGUUAAGUGUCCAAGAAUGCUCUCAUCAGUGGAGGCACAGCUGGCUGCAAAAAACGUCUGUGUCUGCAUGUUUAUAUUAUGUGAAUUAAAAAUGGUUUUAUUAUUAAAAUAAUUGUA